UACGUAGGGGGCAAGCGUUGUCCGGAAUUAUUGGGCGUAAAGAGCUCGUAGGCGGUCCAUUAAGUCGGAAGUGAAAUCUCAGGGCUCAACCCUGAAAUUGCUUUCGAUACUGGUGGACUUGAGGCAGGUAGGGGAAGGUGGAAUUCCUGGUGUAGCGGUGAAAUGCGCAGAUAUCAGGAGGAACACCAGUGGCGAAGGCGGCCUUCUGGGCCUGUUCUGACGCUGAGGAGCGAAAGCGUGGGGAGCAAACAGG
rnacentral:rRNA from 2 species